rnacentral:rRNA from 1 species
CCUACGGGCUGCACCAGUGGGGAAUAUUGCACAAUGGGCGCAAGCCUGAUGCAGCCAUGCCGCGUGUGUGAAGAAGGCCUUCGGGUUGUAAAGCACUUUCAGCGAGGAGGAAGGUGGUGAGCUUAAUACGCUCAUCAAUUGACGUUACUCGCAGAAGAAACACCGGCUAACUCCGUGCCAGCAGCCGCGGUAAUACGGAGGGUGCAAGCGUUAAUCGGAAUUACUGGGCGUAAAGCGCACGCAGGCGGUUUGUUAAGUCAGAUGUGAAAUCCCCGGGCUCAACCUGGGAACUGCAUUUGAAACUGGCAAGCUAGAGUCUCGUAGAGGGGGGUAGAAUUCCAGGUGUAGCGGUGAAAUGCGUAGAGAUCUGGAGGAAUACCGGUGGCGAAGGCGGCCCCCUGGACAAAGCCUGACGCUCAGGUGCGAAAGCGUGGGGAGCAAACAGGAUUAGAUACCCGGGUAGUC